rnacentral:misc_RNA from 1 species
GAUGAAGAACGUAGUGAAAUGCGAUACGUAAUGUGAAUUGCAGAAUUCAGUGAAUCAUCGAGUCUUUGAACGCACAUUGCGCCCCCUGGUAUUCCGGGGGGCAUGCCUGUCCGAGCGUCAUUGCUGCCCUCAAGCACGGCUUGUGUGUUGGGCCUCCGUCCUCCUCCCGGGGGACGGGCCCGAAAGGCAGCGGCGGCACCGCGUCCGGUCCUCGAGCGUAUGGGGCUUCGUCACCCGCUCUUGUAGGCCCGGCCGGCGCUUGCCGACACAUCAAUCUUUUUUCCAGGUUGACCUCGGAUCAGGUAGGGAUACCCGCUGAACUUAAGCAUAACAAUAAGCGGAGGA